rnacentral:misc_RNA from 1 species
GAAAUGGGCAGUCAGACAGAAG